rnacentral:rRNA from 1 species
CCUACGGGGGGCAGCAGUGAGGAAUAUUGGUCAAUGGCCGGAAGGCUGAACCAGCCAUGCCGCGUGAAGGUCAGUGCCCUAUGGGCGUUAAACUUCUUUUGUGCGGGAGCAAUAAUGGUCACGUGUGGCCAGACGAGAGUACCGUACGAAUAAGCAUCGGCUAACUCCGUGCCAGCAGCCGCGGUAAUACGGGGGAUGCAAGCGUUAUCCGGAUUUAUUGGGUUUAAAGGGUGCGUAGGCUGUGAGGUAAGUCAGCGGUGAAAUGCCCCCGCUCAACGGGGUGAAGUGCCAUUGAUACUGGCUGGCUGGAAUGCGGAUGAGGUGGGAGGAAUGUGUGGUGUAGCGGUGAAAUGCAUAGAUAUCACACAGAACACCAAUUGCGAAGGCAUCUCACGAAUCCGCGAUUGACGCUGAUGCACGAAAGCGUGGGUAUCAAACAGGAUUAGAUACCCCAGUAGUC